UAAGAAAAUGUUAUUUCAGCUAUGACAUCCUUUAAUUGACAUUUCAAUCUUCAAAACCAAAUCUACAUAUAUUACCAUAUAUUACGAAUCUUAUUUAAAUUACUCGGAAAAGACACUUGAUUUUCUGGUAAUAGAAAAAAUCAUGCUCGUUUCAUUCAAAAUUUUAGUUUUAAUGACACUUUUAUGUUACUCCAAUUCUAGAACCACCCAAAGUAAAUCUGACGAUCCAGAAACAAUAUCCAAACUCGCUGGAACUUCCUUAAUUGUCAAUGGCUUUGACGCUCCGUCGUCUCGUGCUUUCUUUGUUACCAUCCACUUCAGAAACUGGAAAGAAUUCUGUGGAGCAGCAAUUAUUGACACUUUUUGGGUACUUACAGCUGCACAUUGUGUUCAUUUAGCACCAGUCUCAGAUAUUUUUGUGUUGGUCGAUGACGCGCUAUUGGCUCUGCCGGUGUACCCUGUGAGAAAACUUCAUAGCGUCCAGGCAAAGUUUUAUCCAGCAAGCUUCGAAAUACGGGGGCGAGUAUUAAGAAAUGAUAUCGCGCUUCUUAAACUUCGGGAGCCGAUUUUGGAAAGGAGCCGCAUUCUGCCUAUUUGCCCUCACCUCCUCCAUCCUGCAUCUGAUUUAACUCUAAUUGGUGCGAGUGGUCUAGGUAGACACUCGCCGCUGAAUGACAGCUAUCCAUCAACCUUGCAGGAUCAUUUUAAGCCGCUGCUCGAUU